rnacentral:rRNA from 1 species
UACGUAGGGGGCAAGCGUUGUCCGGAAUCACUGGGCGUAAAGCGCGCGCAGGCGGUCAUCUACGUCUGGGGUGAAAGCCCGGAGCUCAACUCCGGGACUGCCUUGGAUACGGGAUGACUUGAGGAUCGGAGAGGCAAGGGGAAUUCCACGUGUAGCGGUGAAAUGCGUAGAGAUCCGGAGGAACACCGACGGCGUAGGCAGCGCCCUGGACGACACCUGACGCUGAGGCACGAAAGCUGGGGGAGCGAACAGG